CGCUGAACUUAAGCAUAUCAAUAAGCGGAGGAA
rnacentral:rRNA from 3 species